rnacentral:tRNA from 1 species
CGCGGGGUAGAGCAGUUGGUAGCUCGUCGGGCUCAUAACCCGGAGGUUGCAGGUUCAAGUCCUGUCCCCGCAACCA